AAACAAAUCGCAAAACUGAAUGAUCGAUUUAUGCAACUUACAGCUGACUUUCUUGAACUACAAGCCCAAGUAACAGGCCUCAAAACUGAUAACCAAAAGGCAACAUUAGACAUUGAUGAGCUAAGACAUCAGAAAACAACCCCGGUGGAUCAACAAAAACAUCAAAACUUUUGGAAUACAUUAACACAUACUGGACGCAAUCAUGAAGCUAGACCAGAUUCCUGUAAUUGCCACACAGAGAUUCAAAGACUUGAGAGAAAGAUCCAGAAUGUGACAAUGACGAUGGAGAAGGACAUACAGUCACGUCAUACUAUCAUACACAAGAUCCACAAAGUGGAGAAUGACAUGAAUAAACACAAUAGACACAUUAAUAGGAUGGAGCGGAAUAUGGAGCACCUGGAGCAAAAGAGAGGGCAUCAGGCUGACAUGGAUCCCAGACAGGGGAGCGCAAUGACAGAUAUAAGACAACAGAUGCAACGUCUGGAAGAUGAGAUUGUUUACUUAAAGAGUGCACCCCCAGUUACAGCACCCAUACCUGCCGCUCCACUUAAUGCACCCCAAGAUGCUGGACCAUGCCCUAAAGACUGGGUACACUAUAUGUCAUCAUGCUACAAGUUUGAGAAUGUGACAGUGAACUGGCCAAUGGCAGAGAGGCAUUGUCGGGCCAUCCACCCCGAAUCAACGCUGCUCUCGGUAGAAACCCAGCAAGAGAAUGAGUUCAUCAUUGCGUACAGAGAUUACAAUGGAGCUGAAUGGACCAGCCCAUGGUGGUGGGCUGGGGGUACAGACAUGGAAAGAGAGGGCAGCUGGAUGUGGAUCGGCACAAGAAAGCCUAUAACAUUUCACUAUUGGAUCAAACCUGGUGCAGGACAGCGAGAGGAUGAAGAAAAUUCAGACUGUAUGUACUACACAUCAAAUGGAGACCAUAGGUGGGAUGAUUGGAACUGUAAAUCUAUUAAGAUUAACUUUGUAUGCGAGAUUAUCCUGUGAACAGGUUAAAUAUGCGCUUUAUAUAUAUCUAUCAGUAAAACAUGAAUUAAGUUCCUUGUGUGCAAUUGUAUUGUAUUUUCUACUUUCAUACACCUAUUUUUCAGACACCUAUUAAGGGUCUGUGUUACACAGCAGCAUUUUGACAAAGAACUUCAAACGAAUAAUUUUUGAUAUGUUACACAGGCACAAAAAUCUUUGUUAAGUUUGCAAAUUCGUAACCCUGAUGUGUAACCAUUGAUGUACCAUUGACAACCCAUUGACUAUACCACUGUAAUGGCAAAACAUCAUAUUAUAUUUUAUUCAUUAUUCACAAUUUGUGUUUAUUUCACUAUUGUAAAUUCAAGAUGCACGCAUUAUAACAUGUAUAUACCAGUGAAUGUACAUAUACCUUUAUGUAUCUAUCAAACAAUCCAUGAAUGAGAAGUAUGUACUACUAUGUUUGUCUAAAAUGACAAGUAAAAAACAAACCCAGUGAACCUUUUAACGGAACAAUCAGUGUAAUAAGAUUAACAGUAAAUCAAGCAGUGGAACAGAAUGACAUGCGAAUCUUACCUAACAUUGAAGGUUGAAAAUCAAUGAUGCUAUUCAUGCCUCAGUCACAUUUACGCCAACUGAUGGCUCGCACCUGUGCAAUGUCUUAAAAAAUCAGUCAAAAAUCUCAUGGAGUCAAUACAGUUCCUUGUCUUGAUUUAAACCAAAAAUCUCAUCAACCAGGUGCCUUUUCGCAAAUGUGACUGAGGUUUGAAGCACUUGAGCGUUUUGCGAGGGAUCGCCAAGCAUACAAACUGUUUAUGGAGGAAGAACAAGGUAGAUGAUGUAGAUAUUAGAUAAUAUACCUUAGAUUAUGUCAAUACAUAUUGUGACAGAACAUUGACAGAAAACUUAUAUAUGAACCAUAUAUACUUCAGGUCAAUUGUACAUAUUAACGUGGUAUUCAUACACUGACAUUAUUGUCUCCAUUGAUUAAACAACAAAUUAUUUUUUCAAAAAUAUUGUGACUUGGUGACAUAUAGAGAACUAAAUUGACUUAAUCUAUAUUAUUCUAGAAACAUAAUGAUGUGUGCUUUUUUAAGAAUACAUGGAUUAGAAGAACAAUCAUAAAAGGUGACUUUUGGGUCACAUUUUUAAACCUGAUGAAAAAUUAUUAAUUUCACUAACACAAAAAUAAUUGAUCAACCUUCUAGUUUUCAGCCUUUUUGAUUUAAUGAUAGGUAACUUUUUUUCUAAAAAUGCAUUAGGCAAUGCAAAGUCAAUUUUUACCUAGCUUAAUAAAAGGUGAUGUAAUGAUGCAUUUUAUUCUUGCAUUUCAACUUUUACCUCAAUUUUGCCAAGAAUCUAGAUAACAUUU
rnacentral:misc_RNA from 1 species